rnacentral:rRNA from 1 species
GACGAACGCUGGCGGCGUGCUUAACACAUGCAAGUCGAACGGAAAGGCCCUGAUUUUGUGGGGUGCUCGAGUGGCGAACGGGUGAGUAACACGUGAGUAAACUGCCCUUGACUUUGGGAUAACUUCAGGAAAAUGGGGCUAUAACAGCUUAGAACAUCUUGAACCAGGUGGGGGAUUGGAAAAUUACGGCGGUGGGGGAUGGUAUAGGGGUUUAUCGGCUGGUUGGGGGGGUGGGGGCUUACAAGGCUUUUGAGGGAUAGCCGGCCUGGGAGGGUGACCGGCCACAAUGGGACUGAGGGACGGCCCAGACGCCUACGGGAGGCAGCAGGGGGGAGUAUUGCACAAUGGGCGGAAGCCUGAUGCAGCGGUGCCGCGUGCGGGAUGACGGCUUUCGGGUGGUGAACCGCUUUCUCCGGUGAUGAAGCGUGAGUGACGGUAAUGGGUAAAGAAGCACCGGCUAACUACGUG